rnacentral:rRNA from 1 species
GGAAGCUAGGUAACUAGUGAAGCUAACCAGUACUAAUUGAUCGUGAGGCUUGAUCUUAUAACAUUA